UAGGGAAUCUUCCGCAAUGGGCGAAAGCCUGACGGAGCAAUGCCGCGUGAACGAUGAAGGCCUUCGGGUCGUAAAGUUCUGUUGUGGGGGAAGAAAUCACUUUUGGAUAAUACCCAAGAGUGUUUGACGGUACUCCACGAGGAAGCCCCGGCUAAUUACGUGCCAGCAGCCGCGGUAAUACGUAAGGGGCAAGCGUUGUCCGGAAUCACUGGGCGUAAAGCGCACGUAGGCGGUUUAGCAAGUUAGGGGUGCAAGCUCCAGGCUUAACCUGGAAACUGCCUCUAAAACUACUUCACUUGAGUAUUAGAGGGGAAGCUGGAAUUCACGGUGUAGCGGUGAAAUGCGUAGAUAUCGUGGAGAACACCCGUGGCGAAGGCGGGCUUCUGGCUAAUAACUGACGCUGAGGUGCGAAAGCUAGGGGAGCGAACGG
rnacentral:rRNA from 1 species